rnacentral:rRNA from 1 species
AGCAACCGCGGUAAUUCCAGCUCCAAUAGCGUAUAUUAAAGUUGUUGCAGUUAAAAAGCUCGUAGUUGAAUUUCGGGAUCAGUACGCUGGUCGUGCCUCCGGUAUGUACUGGUGUCACUGGUUCCUCCCUUCUGAAGAACCAUCAUGCUAUUAGUUUAGUGUGGUGGGAAAUCAGGACUGUUACUUUGAAAAAAUUAGAGUGUUUAAAGCAGGCUCACGCUUGAAUACAUUAGCAUGGAAUAAUGAAAUAGGACGUUGAUCCUAUUUUGUUGGUUUCUAGGAUUGACGUAAUGAUUAAUAGGGAUAGUUGGGGGCAUUAGUAUUCAAUUGUCAGAGGUGAAAUUCUUGGAUUUAUUGAAGACUAACUACUGCGAAAGCAUUUGCCAAGGAUGUUUUCAUUAAUCAAGAACGAAGGUUAGGGGAUCGAAGACGAUCAGAUACCGUCGUAGUCUUAACCAUAAACUAUGCCGACUAGGGAUCGGAUGAUGUUAAUUUUUAAUGACUCAUUCGGCGCCUUAAC